rnacentral:rRNA from 1 species
GACGAACGCUGGCGGCGUGCUUAACACAUGCAAGUCGAACGGAAAGGCCUCUUUCGGGGGGUACUCGAGUGGCGAACGGGUGAGUAACACGUGAGUAACCUGCCCUUGACUUUGGGAUAACUUCAGGAAACUGGGGCUAAUACCGGAUAGGAGCUCCUGCUGCCUGGUGGGGGUUGGAAAGUUUCGGCGGUUGGGGAUGGACUCGCGGCUUAUCAGCUUGUUGGUGGGGUAGUGGCUUACCAAGGCUUUGACGGGUAGCCGGCCUGAGAGGGUGACCGGCCACAUUGGGACUGAGAGACGGCCCAGACUCCUACGGGAGGAAGCAGUGGGGAAUAUUGCACAAUGGGUGGAAGCCUGAUGCAGCAACGCCGGGUGCGGGAUGACGGCCUUCGGGUUGUAAACCGCUUUCGCUCAUGACGAAGCUUUGUGUGACGGUAGUGGGUAAAGAAGCACCGGCCAACUACGUG